ensembl:lncRNA
GGGCAGCCAGAGCAGCCUGCACCCGCCGGCACAGACCAUCUCCAACGCGCCCGUCUCCGAGUACAUUACUCCCCGAGCAUGCGAGCCACCUACCUGUCGGUCACCGAUGAGCACGUCCGGCCCCACAGCACCGAGGUCCCGGCCUAAGGCUCGGCCCACACGGCUCCCGGCAGGAGGAGACGGCGCCACCGGCGUUCCGGUGGUGGGAAACCAAAGAGACCUGGGACAGACGUGGUGGGAAAGCCGGCAAUGGCUGGAGGAUGAGCCCCGGCAGUGGGGAGGCCCCCGGGCUCCCUGCACCCUCCUCUCCCCCUUGGCAGCUCCUUCUCCAUCUCAAGUCUUCCUUCCUUAUGGCUGACAGUGGCUCCAGGGCCAAACACCGGGAAGGUUGGGGAUGCUUCACACCCUCAUGUCGGCUCCCUCCCCGCUCGGGGAUGUUUUAUGCCGUGGAAUGGAGCCUUCUCCAGCUCCCUGGAGCACCCAGCCUGGGACCAUGGGUGGCUCCUUCGCUCCCGUAGCAAUGCAGCACCAACCACUAGUGAUCCCAGCUCCUGCUCCUCAUGGAUGGAGCCGGCUCCCCUUGUCCCCCUCGCUGCUGCCCUGGGUUUGGGGGCUAUAGAAUUAAGGAUGCUUUGUCCUUGCCGGUUUUCCUUUGCUUUGCUCCUGGGUUUUAUGAGUUCUCUGCAGGGCAGAGGUGCAGUUUGACUCGCUGCCUCUGUUCCAAUGGGGUUUUACUGCGGUGCAUGUUGGUAACAGAUUUUGGGCUGGUUUGAAGGUUCUUUUUGGCUGUUCAGCUCGCCAGCACUGGUGGGCUGGGGUAGGCUCCCCUCCUUCUGCAGGACAGCCACAAACUCCCUGGGAGAGGGAUAGGAACAUCCCUGGGACAGGAUGUGGUCCUGGGGAGGGCAUGGUCCUGCCAGGGCUUCAAGGAGCCAGGAGGAACCAGCAUGAGCUGAAAUGGAUCUUUUCUGGCUGCCUAUUUCGGUACGGUCUGCUCUGGAGAGCAAAGACUUAUCCCUUAACCCUUAUCUCCCUGCAGUUAGCAGCCUCCUGUGCUGCUGGUUGUGGUUAUCCAUCCCCUCAUCCCUGCUUUGCCUAACAGCCGGGGUAGCCAGGCUGUCCCUUGGGCGAGCCCCAGGGUCUUGGUAGCAGCAACUCACUGUGUCUUUUAAAGAUAACCUGUAUAUUCCCUCCAGUGCCCUAACCCGUGUUCCGUGUGACUGCAUUACUCCCUGUUGGAAACUUCCUUCCAGGGAAUAUUGGGGGGGGGGAGGGUGCUUUUAAUGUUUGGCUGUAACGGUACUGGUAGAAGAGCUGGUGUUCAACGCAUGUGAACUAACCUCAUUAGGGGCUGGAGCCUGGUUUGGAUGUGCCCUUGGGGAAAGGACAAUAAACACUUGUACUAAA